rnacentral:rRNA from 1 species
AUACAGAGGGUGCGAGCGUUAAUCGGAAUUACUGGGCGUAAAGCGUACGUAGGCGGUUCGUUAAGUUAGAUGUGAAAGCCCCGGGCUUAACCUGGGAACUGCAUUUAAAACUGGCGAACUAGAGUUGAGUAGAGGGGAGUGGAAUUUCAGGUGUAGCGGUGAAAUGCGUAGAGAUCUGAAGGAACACCAGUGGCGAAGGCGACUCCCUGGACUCGAACUGACGCUGAGGUACGAAAGCGUGGGUAGCAAACGGGAUUAGAAACCCCUGUAGUCC